UCAAAUGAAUUGACGGGGCCCGCACAAGCGGUGGAGUAUGUGGUUUAAUUCGAAGCAACGCGAAGAACCUUACCAGGACUUGACAUCCUACUAACGAAGUAGAGAUACAUUAGGUGCCCUUCGGGGAAAGUAGAGACAGGUGGUGCAUGGUUGUCGUCAGCUCGUGUCGUGAGAUGUUGGGUUAAGUCCCGCAACGAGCGCAACCCUUAUUGUUAGUUGCUACGCAAGAGCACUCUAGCGAGACUGCCGUUGACAAAACGGAGGAAGGUGGGGACGACGUCAAAUCAUCAUGCCCCUUAUGUCCUGGGCCACACACGUACUACAAUGGCGGCUAACAAAGGGAUGCAAUACCGCGAGGUGGAGCAAAUCCCCAAAAGCCGUCCCAGUUCGGAUUGCAGGCUGAAACUCGCCUGUAUGAAGUUGGAAUCGCUAGUAAUCGCGGAUCAGAAUGCCGCGGUGAAUACGUUCCCGGGCCUU
rnacentral:rRNA from 1 species